GACGGGACCGCACAAGCGGUGGAUGAUGUGGUUUAAUUCGAUGCAACGCGAAAACCUUACCCACCUUUGACAUGUACGGAAUCCUUUAGAGAUAGAGGAGUGCUCGAAAGAGAGCCGUAACACAGGUGCUGCAUGGCUGUCGUCAGCUCGUGUCGUGAGAUGUUGGGUUAAGUCCCGCAACGAGCGCAACCCUUGUCAUUAGUUGCUACAUUCAGUUGGGCACUCUAAUGAGACUGCCAGUGACAAACCGGAGGAAGGUGGGGAUGACGUCAAGUCCUCAUGGCCCUUAUAGGUGGGGCUACACACGUCAUACAAUGGAUGGUACAAAGGGUCGCCAACCCGCGAGGGGGAGCCAAUCCCAUAAAGCCAUUCGUAGUCCGGAUCGCAGUCUGCAACUCGACUGCGUGAAGUCGGAAUCGCUAGUAAUCGUGGAUCAGAAUGUCACGGUGAAUACGUUCCCGGGUCUU
rnacentral:rRNA from 1 species